CAAGCGUCCUGGUAAGCCAUCUGGAGCUCGACCUGGUUCACUAGGGGCCGGAUCCCCUUCUGCUGCUGCUGCUGCUGAGAAUGCUGCACUUCCUGGGCAUUUUGGGCCAAACUGGAUCCCUGCUGGUGCAUAUUGGGAUUAGAAUUAGGGUUAGGGUUAGGGUUUUGGUGCUGGAGAUUGAGAGGACGAUGGAGGCCCGUGGGGCGGAGGUGGGCAUCGAUGUUGGAAGGAAAUCGCGAAAUCGCUGCCGCUUGCUGCUGCUGUUGGGCUUGCUUCUGGAAUUGUUGUAGCAAGAGAAAUUGUUGCUGUUGCUGUUGCUG
rnacentral:misc_RNA from 1 species